AGAUUGAACGCUGGCGGCAUGCCUAACACAUGCAAGUCGAACGGGAGUAGCAAUACUCUAGUGGCGGACGGGUGAGGAAUACGUAGGAAUUUGCCCUUAAGUGGGGGAUAACCCGGGGAAACCCGGAUUAAUACCGCAUGACCUCGAAAGCGCAAAGUGGGGGAUCGCAAGACCUCACGCUUUUGGAGAAGCCUACGUCGGAUUAGCUAGUUGGUGAGGUAAUGGCUCACCAAGGCGACGAUCCGUAACUGGUCUGAGAGGAUGAUCAGUCACACCGGAACUGAGACACGGUCCGACUCC
rnacentral:rRNA from 1 species